AUACGGAGGAUGCAAGCGUUAUCCGGAUUUAUUGGGUUUAAAGGGUGCGUAGGCGGAUGAUUAAGCGUGAGGUGAAAUGCCACUGCUCAACAGUGGAACUGCCUCGCGAACUGGUUGUCUUGAAUGCUCCUGCCGUGGGGGAAUGUGUAGUGUAGCGGUGAAAUGCUUAGAGAUUACACAGAACACCGAUUGCGAAGGCAUCUCACGAAGGGUUGAUUGACGCUGAGGCACGAAAGCGUGGGGAUCAAACAGGAUUAGAUACCCUGGUAGUCCACGCAGUAAACGAUGAUGGCUAACCGCUGGGCUUAUCAGUUCAGUGGCCAAGCGAAAGCGAUAAGCCAUCCACCUGGGGAGUACGACCGCAAGGUUGAAACUCAAAUGAAUUGACGGGG
rnacentral:rRNA from 1 species